UCUGGAGAACAAUUAAGAGAAGGCAGGAUGGCGAUUAGACUCCAAACAAAUGACUCCCUCAUUUCACGUUUACGGUGAUUUUACAGCCCUGCUAUCUUUCUGUCAAAUGUGUGGUUUGGGUACGAGAAAUGUGUGAUAAUCACAGAGGUGCAAAGAGCGCUUUUAAUGACAGAUAUUAUGCCGUCUGAAAGCUCAUUAUUCUGAGCGACAGAGGUCUGAUGCCCUACUCAGCGACGUAGCUCUCUCGGCGGAAGAGCUCCGAUCCGACUCGGGGACUGCAUUCGCCGGGGAUCGGUCCGGCUAGGCUCUGGCGUGGCCGAGCCCUUGGAAAUUUCCACCGUAGUUUUAUAGGUUAACGUCACAGCGUGGGCAGUUAUUCGGUAUUAAGUCCAUCCUGAGAAAGAUCUUUGAAUUGCUGGAAAGGACAUCUGUGAAAAGCAAAAUGAACGCCGUUCUCUGAAGGCCUAAUCCUUUACCCUGCCGCUCCUGCUGCAGAAUGCAGCUCUUCGUGCUGAAGAAAGAUAAGAUCUCUCAACUGAGACGGUCUUGGCCCGGCAGAGCAGCAUCACUUUCUUGAGCUGAAACCGGACCUCGAAUGGAAACCACCGGGAAAAUCGCCCCGAUUUUACCGCUCGCCCGCCGCCUGCUGCUAUUUUUUUGGCAGGAGGGAUUUGAAAUUUCCAACUGACAGUUGUCCAUGCUGACUAGUGUAUCCUGUGUUCUGCUCCUGCAGUUUGCUCCGUAUGAUUCAAUGACCACAUGCGACUAUAAUUCGUGAAGGAGUUCACACGACUUUCCUCGGUCCGCCAGCUAAACAAAUACUGCGUAUCUUUGGAAACAGAGAUACACUUUAUUACUUCCCCAUAUGGCUGGAGAGGGAUCUGAUACCGAAGAACACAAUGUGCUUAAGCCAACAGGAAGCUUGAAAAGAGAAACAUUUAGAAAAACUUGCAAGGAAUUUGAAAGCGUUCCCAUCCCGCUACCUCCUUCAUAUAAUCCAAAACUCAGGCCGAGGAUUCUUGGGCCGUAGCAUGAAAAGCAGUAGUCGGAGAAAUUUUCUGAGUAAAGAAUGCCAUCAAUGAAAUUGACCUGUCCGGAAGAACCAUUUUCCAUUUCUGUCAUGUCCAGAAAUAGCCAUUCGUAUUUCAGGAUAUUCACUCAAUUAUGGAAAUGAUUCUGUUUUUCUGGAAAAGAUGGGAAAAACGACCCAAAUCAACCUUUUAGUGAACUUUAGUAUUAAAAAUCCUUCACGUUACUUCUAUUUCUUUGCAGACAGCAAGCUAGGCAGCCUGAAAAAGGAAAAAAAAAAAAUGAACUUAAUGGUGGUAAUUGGGAUGUGUAACCGCAUCUUCCAUUACAAAAGUCAUGACCACUUUGAACCGCAGGAAGAAACAGCUGUUGGCAUUUAAAUAAAAUCCAUUUUCCCGGCAGUUGGUUUUAUUGCUGGGUUACCUGUG